GGGGGAAGCUGCAAUCGUCUCCUCAGAAACCACAGAAUGUCAUAAGUCAUGAUUUUUUACCACCGCAAAAGUGGCUGCAGCACUGACUCAGUUCAAUUACAGCAUAAAUUGGAGUAAGCUAGACACUGAGUUAUUCUGCAGACAUUUUGCAGGCCUCUGACCCCCGGCUUGUGCAGUGUGUGCAUCUACGGAACAUAGUACUAACUUCUGCCCUAAUAUGGCAGAAACUGAACAGGGCCACUCUGUCCCUAAUUUCCUAAAACCUAC